rnacentral:lncRNA from 1 species
ACCUUGUGGGCGCCCACGGCACGGGAUAAACGAACAGAAACACUGUUUAUUCCGAGCGGGCUCUCGGGCUGUGCAGCUGACAGUCUGGGAGACCUGCCCCCCGCCCCCCCCCGGGCCCCGGUGCUCCUGCGCCCCCCUCCCCGGGCCCCGGUGCUCCUCCGCCCCCCCCCCCGCCCCCGCGGCGCAGGUGGAGCGCGGCCGGGCGACUCGCUGCUUCGGGCCGGGCUGGGCGGCCGCCCGCGCGCCUGCGCCCUCUGCCGCUCGGCUGGCUCCGGGCGCGUCUCGGUGCGCGCGAGUCGAGGGGAGAGGCUGGGUGACAGCGGGGGGGGAAGAGUUCAGCCCGACUCCGUCUCAGUCACCGAUUUCUCCGCGGCUGGGCCGAAGCUGCCUCUCCGGGCGGCUCCCAACUGCUCCGCGCCGCCGCGGUCCCCACCGGCCGCCGCUCGACUCCGCCGGACGCCGCGACCGACCGACUCGCGAGUGAGUAGCGGCGGCUGGAGCGCCCGGCGGCGCGGCGGGGUGGCCCCCGGCGGGGCGCGCGUGUGUGCGCGUGUGCGAGUGCGAGUGCGAGUGCGGUGCGUGUGCGUGUGCGCGCGGGGAUGCCCCUGGGAUUCCACGGCGGGCCGGGGCGCCCCGGGACCGCGAGUCCCUCCGAGCCGGCGCCGCGGCGUGGGUCGGCGCGCGGAGGGACUCGGCCGGGAUUCCCCGGCCCCGCGCGGCCGCCGGUGGGGUUCCCCGGGAGGCGCCGGGGCGAGGAGGCGGCGGGGAAGCCCGGGCGGGGAGCGGCGGCAGCCCGGGGAUCUGGGCGCGGGUCUCGGCCCCGCAGAGGCGCGGGAGCCGCCGGGGGCCGGUCUCCGUCCCCUCCCCUCCCUUCCCCUCCCUCCCUCCCCUCCCCCCGCCCCCUCCCUCCCCGCCUUUCUCCCCUACCCUUCCUCCUUUCUUCCCUCCGCAGCAUCACAAAAGCGCGAAACGAAACCCAGUGCGGCCAAGUCCGGCUUCGCGCUCCCACCUGGUGCGCAUCGCCCCGGGGCCGGCGGAGCGGAGUGGGAGUCCCCGACCUGGGGGGGGGGGCUGGCCCCGGGGACACACCUGUUUUCGCCUCGCGCUGAAUUCGAGCCGGGGUGCAGGAUCGCGCGAGGGGAUCCGCCACAUGCUCGCCGGCGUGCGUGUGUGUGUGCGCGCGUGCGUGCGUGUGUGUGUGUGUGUGCGCGCACGCUCCCCGGGCCCACGCUCGCGGGGGCGCUUGGUGUAAACACCGGUCCCUGGGCCGCCGUGGCCGGGACCGCCCGGGGGCUGCGAGCGAGCGGCGUGACCGCGAGCCCGCGUCUCUUUGUGUGGCUGUCGCCUCCCCGCCCCGCCGCAGAGCAAACCGAUUUUCGGUUUCGCGUGACACUGCGCGCUGGGACUUGGUGUGGGCCGCAGCCUCAGAUGCCCCCGGUAUUUGAAAUCGAAUAG